rnacentral:rRNA from 1 species
AUGAAUGAGCGGUUAUGUUCUCCAGUUACGGAUACUGAAAUUGAACAGGCUUUGUUUAGUAUGCAUCCAAACAAAUCGCCUGGCCCGGAUGGGUUUACAGCCGGAUUUUAUAUCCGACACUGGGAUCUGUUCAAAGAAUCAAUUUGCAGUGCAGUUCGAAACUUUUUGGAGGGCGGUGUAAUGCCUGAUGUGGUGAACAGCACCGUGCUUGUCCUUAUUCCUAAGGUCAAAGCACCUCAGGAGCUAAGCCAGUAUAGACCGAUAUCGCUGUGUAAUGUGUUAUAUAAAAUAGCAUCCAAGGUUUUAGCGUUUAGGCUCAGGCCCAUUUUAGAUGAAAUCAUUGCUGAAGAACAAAGUGCCUUUGUACCUGGCAGAUUAAUCACAGACAAUGUUUUGAUUGCUUACGAGAAUAUUCAUUAUUUGAAGAAGAAGAAAGGGAAAGGUUGUGCUUGUGCAGUUAAGCUCGAUAUGGCAAAAGCUUAUGAUCGAGUUGAAUGGUCAUAUCUAAGGCAAGUCAUGAUGAAAAUGGGGUUUGCAGAACAGUGGAUAGGGAGAGUUAUGGCUUGUGUGGAGACUGUGUCCUUCUCAGUACGGGUGAAUGGGCGUUAUUCUGAAUUCUUCAAGCCAACUAGGGGCAUUCGUCAGGGAGACCCCUUGUCGCCCUAUCUAUUCCUACUAUGCGCUGAAGGAUUGAGCAGUAUGUUAAAAUUCAAAGGGCCGGUUCACUUAUCCAAGGGUAUUAGAGUUGGGACCAAUGCACCGUGGAUUUCACACCUACUGUUCGCAGAUGACUGCAUGGUGUUUUCACAGGCUUCGGUUCAGGGAGCCCAAAGGCUGCAUGAAAUUCUGGAGUUGUACAGAGAGGGCUCAGGACAGUUGGUUAACAAAGCUAAAUCAGCGAUUUAUUUCAGUGGUAACUGCUCGGAUGAAGACAAGGCGAGUUUUCAUGAAGGGAUCAAUAUUCAAACUGAAGCUCUAGCUGAAAAAUAUUUGGGACUUCCCACGGCACUUGGGAGAUCUUCGGAGGAGCAAUUUGAGCAUAUAGUAACAAGGAUAAGGAAGCUUGUCAAUGGUUGGGCUCCAAAACUUAUGAACAGUGCAGCUAGGGAGGUUCUGAUCAAGUCCAUUUGCCAAGCGAUCCCAACUUAUUUGAUGAGCUGUUUUAAAUUGUCCAAGAAAACUUGCAAAAAAAUUAUUAGCAUAGUCGCUCGGUACUGGUGGGGAGGUGAUGAAGUUAAGAGGAAGAUGCAU